GUGUUCACAGAGGGCAUGGUUCAGUGGCUAGGCAUGCACAUUUGCAUUUGUUGUUGACAACUGUCAGCUUUGACCUCCUUCUCUUCACAACCCUGUCUAAAUGGGGUUUGUAAUCCUCCUUCCCACCCACUCUCUUCACUCCCUGGGGCAAGAAUGUUGACUCCUGCUUGUCACCUGUCAGGAUCCAUCCUCCUGUCACUGGCUUAUAUGGACAAGUCAGCCCACAUCACGUGACUGCAGGUUGCUAAAAACAGCUCCGGCACCCACUCCAAACCAGGGCCUGAAACAAUGUCCUCCACCGAGAGAAACGUAAAGGACACUUGAUCACACAAUCCCUGGAAUAAUAUCCAGGAAACACUUGCUGGAGUCACUUGCAGCACCCUUCCCUGGCAGCACACUUGGGGACGGCGAGGAGAUGAGCGCAUCUCUGAAUUACAAGUCUUUUUCCAAAGAGCAGCAGACCAUGGAUAACUUAGAGAAGCAACUCAUCUGUCCCAUCUGCUUAGAGAUGUUCACGAAACCUGUGGUCAUUCUUCCCUGUCAGCACAACCUGUGUAGGAAAUGUGCCAGUGAUAUUUUCCAGGCCUCUAACCCGUAUUUGCCCACAAGAGGAGGCACCACCAUGGCAUCAGGGGGCCGAUUCCGCUGCCCAUCCUGUAGACAUGAAGUGGUUUUGGAUAGACAUGGGGUAUAUGGACUUCAGAGGAACCUGCUGGUGGAAAAUAUCAUUGACAUCUACAAGCAGGAGUCCACCAGGCCAGAAAAGAAGUCCGACCAGCCCAUGUGCGAGGAGCAUGAAGAGGAGCGCAUCAACAUCUACUGUCUGAGCUGCGAAGUGCCCACCUGCUCUCUGUGCAAGGUGUUCGGUGCACACAAGGACUGCCAGGUGGCUCCCCUCACUCAUGUGUUCCAGAGACAGAAGUCUGAGCUCAGCGAUGGCAUCGCCAUCCUCGUGGGCAGCAACGAUCGAGUCCAGGGAGUGAUCAGCCAGCUGGAAGACACCUGCAAAACUAUCGAGGAAUGUUGCAGAAAACAGAAACAGGAGCUUUGUGAGAAGUUUGAUUACCUGUAUGGCAUUUUGGAGGAGAGGAAGAAUGAAAUGACCCAAGUCAUUACCCGAACCCAAGGGGAGAAACUGGAACACGUCCGUGCUCUGAUCAAAAAGUAUUCUGAUCAUUUGGAGAACGUCUCAAAGUUGGUUGAGUCAGGAAUUCAGUUUAUGGAUGAGCCAGAAAUGGCAGUGUUUCUGCAGAAUGCCAAAACCUUGCUACACAAAAUCUCCGAAGCAUCAAAGGCAUUUCAGAUGGAGAAAGUAGAACAUGGCUAUGAGAACAUGAACCACUUCACAGUCAACCUCAAUAGGGAAGAAAAGAUAAUACGUGAAAUUGACUUUUACAGAGAAGAUGAAGAUGAAGAAGAAGAAGAAGGCGGAGAAGGAGAAAGAGAAGGAGUAGGAGAAGUGGGAGGAGAAGCAGUAGAAGUGGAAGAGGUAGAAAUUGUUCAAGCAGAGUUUCCAGGAGAAGAUGAAAGCCCAGAAAAAGCUUCAGAGCUCUCUCAGGUGGAGCUGCAGGCUGCCCCUGGGGCACUUCCAGUUUCCUCUCCAGAGCCACCUCCAGCCCUGCCACCUGCUGCAGAUGCCCCUGUGACACAGGGGGAGGUUGUGCCCACUGGCUCUGAGCAGACCACAGAGUCUGAAACUCCAGUCCCUGCAGCAGCGGAAACCGCGGAUCCCUUGUUUUACCCUAGUUGGUAUAAAGGCCAAACCCGGAAAGCCACCACCAACCCACCUUGCACCCCAGGGAGCGAAGGUCUGGGGCAAAUAGGGCCUCCAGGUUCUGAGGAUUCGAAUGUGCAGAAGGCAGAAGUGGCAGCAGCCGCAACGAGUGAGAGGGCAGCUGUGAGUGGUAAGGAAACUAGUGCACCUGCAGCUACUUCUCAGCAACCCCCAAGGAGCACACUUGAAUUGAGCUUUAAGUCUGUUCUGGAGAAUAACCUCUGAUUCAUGGAUUCUUGGAGUGUGCUUGCUACAGCUAGACAGAGACAGUCUUGACUUGAUUAAACCUGUGCUUCCUAAGCAUGUGCUCCUGGAAAUGGAAAAAGCACAGGUGCUCCUCCAUAGAGAUUUUUUUCAAGAGACUCUUUCUUUAUAUAAUGAGUUUGAAGUCCAUGCCUUCUCCCUAACACUUGGUUAGAUGUUUGCAUGUCUCGAAGAGUCCACAGAAGAAAUCUUUUACAAUUUCUUCACAAGGAAGAAUGUUCAUGGUGACUCCAUACUCAUGAGCAUUCUUAAAUGAUGUGUGAAUGUUGCCCAGGCAAGAGGCUGCCAGAAAGCACUCUCCAGUUCCAUGCUCCUGGGUCAUCAGGUGAUUGAUUAUGAACCACAAAUAACAUGUUCUCAAAAAUCAGAAAAUGACUUAUUAUUUUGUUUGUAUCUGCUCAAGUAGACUUCAGUUCCAGGAGGUAAUAAUUUUGGAAAAUUAAAAGUGACAUGGUUUGGGGUUGGAUGUUUAUUUUCACAGAUAAAAGUGACAAAAAUAAAUGUUUAGUGUGAAGAAAUCUUCUGAGGUAGUUUUUAGGUAAAAGAUGCAGUAGACUGAUUAUUUCUACAAAAUGUGUGGCAAUUCUUAUUCAUGGUGGUAGAAGCUGAGUGUGGAGGGGCUGUUUUCUGAAAACAGCAGUGUACUACCCCAUGAAGAGCAUGCAGUAGGGCUCAAACCAAAAUGAAAAGUCCAUUGAAAUCAUGUUGAAAAUAAUUAUUUGUGAUAAUAUCAGUGAAGCUUUCUUCUUGUUUUCUCACAGGAGUUAGUAAUCUGCCUAGCGCUUUUGGCUUUUCUUAUACUUCACUACAUCUGGAGUCAGAUUCAGUGCUUGAUUUUUACUUUAAUGGGUAGGAAAUAUUUUCUUUUCCCUUGACUAACAUUUCACAUAGUUUCUUCCAUAAUGUUCCUCUUCUGUAGGCCCAGAGAUUAAUUUCUCCACAAAUCUUGAGGCUCAGUCCUCCCAAAAUAACAUUGUUCUCAGAUUAUACUGGAGGUCUCAAGCUCCCACAAUGCAACCGCCUCAAGACCUCUUCCUGAGGAGAAUUGCUCCAUUAUCUAUUCCUGCAUGGAGGGGAACCUUGACCAAGAACAGUGACUCCAUGGGCAAUUAUUCAGUAAUCCAGCAGGAGCAAACCCUCCAGAAUGGUCAUUAGGGGAGACCAGUUUCAAAUGUCCAUAAUGCCAUGAGGACUUACUGCUCGUAGAGAAAGGAGCAGCAAAGGACUUCUGCAGGAAAAUGCAGGUUUCCAUAGAUUAAGAAGAAACAUUUCAUCUGCUUACACCAGAGAUGCCCAGGAGGUGGCCAAGUGACUCCUGGUGGGAUGCUGUUCUAGGCAGUUCCUAUGCAGGUGAGCAGAUUGGAUUUGAGGCUCCUCCCCUCCAGGGACAGGCUGCAGCUCCAGCGAGUGGCAGUGGAGCUGAUUCUGAGCCAGCUCGCCAUAUCUUCUCCUUUUCCUGGUUGAACUCCCUAAAUGAAUGAUAUU